rnacentral:lncRNA from 1 species
GGGGUAAAAUGCAGUUUUUGGCUUGUAACUCAAAAACCAAAGAAUUUAGAGCAAAUCUGACAUGGGGGUAAAAUUGUUUAUCAGGUCAAGAUCUAUCUGUCCUGAAAUUUUCAGAUGAAUCGGACAACCCGUUGUUGGGUUGCUGCCCCUGAAUCGGUAAUUUUAAGGGAAUUUUGCUGUUUUGGGUUAUUAUCUUGAAUAUUAUUAUAGAUAGAGAUAAACUGUGCACAGUAAUAAUGUUCAGCAAAGUAAGAUUUGCAAAUAAGUCAACAUGACCGAAAUGGUCAAUUGACCCCCUCAGGAGUUAUUGUCCUUUAUAGUCAAUUUUUAACAAUUUUCAUAAAAUUUGUAAAUUUUUAUUAACAUUUUCCACUGAAACUACUAAGCCAAGUUUAUUAUAGAUAGAGAUAAUUGUAAGCAGCAAGACUGUUUAGUAAAGUAAGAUGUACAAACACAUCACCAUCACCAAAACACAAUUUUGUCACGAAUCC